rnacentral:rRNA from 1 species
AUGCGUACGCUGUUCUGGAACAUCCGCGGUUUCGGCCAAGAUGGCCGACGCCACCAACUGAUAGAGUACAUGCGCAAUGAACGAAUCGACAUUUUGGCCAUCCAAGAAACGACGCGUACGGAAUUUUCCCUAUCGGAGCUCGAACAUUUGAGCUCCAAUCUAUUUUCUUGGCACUGGCUCCCUUCUAGUGGGAGCAUGGGCCACUCGGGUGGCAUCCUUCUAGGGGUUAAGGAUGCCACCUUUGAGGUAGGAAGCAUGGACCGGGGCGAGUUCUUCGUUAGCAUGGAGAUUUUUGAACGGGCCCUCAACUUCAAAUGGGAGAUCAUAGCGGUCUAUGGCCCAGCCGAUCAUCGACGCUUUGAAGCCUUCCUCGCUGAGCUUCGCCGAAAGGUUGCAGCCGCCCAGCUACCGGUGGUGGUGGACGGAGAUUUUAACCUCAUC